ACGGAACACGCUAAACCCACCCACCCAUCCCCCCAUGGACGCCGGCGGCGAACUCACCGCCGUCGACGCCGCAUUCCCGCCGGCGGAGGCGAUCGCCGCCGUCCAUGACUCCCACGCCCCCUCUCCCACCACCGAGGACGACUGCGACGACCUCUACGGCGACGUCGACCUCGGCUUCCUCCCCCUCUCGCCACCCUCCCACUACCCGACGUCCCCUCCCAAAACCCCCUCCCCCGGCCACUCCGCCCUGUCGCCGUCCCCGCCGCCGCCGCCUCGCCGCGGCCCGCUCCCGGACCCCACGGCGAAGGCGGAGCCGGAACCACCGAAACCCACCCCGCAGCAGCAGCCGCAGCCGCUCCUCCCCGCGGCAAAACCCGCCCCGCCGCGGGCGUCGCCACCCACCACGGCGGUGUUCAUCGGCGAGCUCCCGUACUGGACGACGGACGCGGAGGUGGAGGGCGCGCUGGCGCCGCACGGCGCGCUCCACGGCCUCCACUUCUUCACCGACAAGCUCACCGGCAAGUCCCGCGGCUUCUGCCGCGCCGACUUCCUCAGCCCCGACGCGGCCGCGUCGGCCGCCGCCGCGCUCCACGGGCGCACCUUCGACGGGCGCCACUGCGUCGCCUCGCUCUCCUGCCCGCCCACGCUGCUCCCCCUCGGCGGCGGCGGCGGCGGCGAUGACCCCCACGUCCACGCCCCGCGCGCCGCGCGCGGCCGAGGCCGAGGCCGAGGCGGCGGCCACGGGGGCAACUCGACGACAGCUCGGGGCAAUGUGGGGCCUCCUCUUGGUGAUCCGCCGGCUCUGGCUCCACCUCCACGGCCUCAGCUUCCAUUCGGUGGUGGGAUGUUGGGAGGCGGCGGCGGCGCUGGCUACGGCGGGUUCGCGCCGAUGAUAGGGCAGUGCAAUGCGGCGAUUGGUACCAGCAUGAUGCCAUCGGUGAUGUCGCCCCAUGUGAACCCAGCGUUCCUGGCAGCCAGCGGCAUGGCGAUGGGUGGCACAGGGAUGUGGUAUGAUCAGCGGAUGACCGGCAUGUGGGUUGGACAGCAGCCAUGGAAUUUUGGAGGUUACGGGAUGCCGCGGCAUCAGCAAAAACCGCCAAUGCAGCAGCCCAACCGCAAUGGAGACUAUGGAACGGUGCGUGGCACGGCGCGGCGGGGAAGACCUGCAGGUGGUAGGAAUGAGGGGGACACUGGCAAUGCCAAUGGCAAUGAGAGGGGUUAUCCAGAUAGGAGGCAGUGUGGCCGUGGCCGUGAUGGGUUUGAUCUGUCCAGGAAGCAUGGCCAUGAGGAGAGGGGUCGAUAUCGGCCGCGAGUGCUGGAGGAGGAGAGGGAGCAUGAAAGGAAUUGGGAUGAGAGUGAUCGUUAUGGAGGUGACAGGAGGAGGUACCAGGAGUAUCCUGAGCGUGACUUCGAGAGGAGAGGCCGGGUGAGGUCACGGAGUUCAUCAAGGGAUGGUGAUGAUGAUGAUCAUCCAGGAAGGCAUUGCUGAUUUCCCGCACUUCCUAUCGUCUUCAGGCCAAAUGGUAAUUAAAACUCCAAUAAGCAUUCUCUUAUUAACAGUUCUCUAUUAUAUAUCUUCUCUACGUAGUUUAAGCAGUGUCUCAGUGUCUCUUUCUGAUGUUUACUCGCUGAGAUUGUGUUACCCAGGCACUAAUUUGGAGAAACUGUUCAUUAUGCUCUAACUUGUAAUUUAGUUUUGACACUUUCUGUUAGACUUUUGCAACUAUGUAUAGGGGUUCUUCUGAUAUUCUUGUGUAACAGUAUAGAGAAGCUCCUUUGAUUGGUAGUACCCUUUAGUCCAUGUUUUAUUGUACCAAAAACAUAGGAAGGUUUUGGAUGAACAUGGAAGCAAAACGUCACAACAGACCUCACAAGGUUAUGGUGUGGAAGAAAUGUGGAUUUUAUGGAAGUUUUCACUCAGGCUUAUGCAUCAUCUCAUUAAUUUUACGGUGCUUCUCUUCAAAAUGUUAGUAUGGUGUCAUAUCUGUUUCUUUUUUACUCAACCAAUAGCCAUUAUGAUGCAUUAGUCAAUGUGACAAACAAUUUUGUGCAUUUUUUUAGGUGUCUUUUGCUCUUUUCCUGACAAUGAGCAGGGGACCUGCUUAUUCAUUUUAGAAUUUUGAACUAAACUGUAAUAGUUGCAACUUGUUGUUUACUGUGUAGUCGAUUAUUAUAUCAUUUUCAGUUCUUUUGGAAAUAAUGUUAAACAUGAAUCAUAAUAUCUCACAGUAUUUUGUUUGAUUAUUUAUUUAUUUUAUGUAAUUUCCAUGUACUAUUACUCACCAUAUGUGUUGGCCACAUCUUAUAUUCUUACCCUUUUUUUCUGUUUGAUGUUUUUAUUGGAAUGCUGUUUUCUAUCUGGCUAAGUGUUUUUACUCCAUGCUAAUCCUGCAAAAAUGAAGACUUCUUCCUGUUCAUGGACGGUGUCAGGAAACAUAUAAAUUAUCAGUUCUUUUUCAGUCCUGGACAAUUACUUCCGCUCCCCAGUCCGGCAGUCCCCCCGGAGUAACUGUAGAAACCAUGCUUAGCCGUAUCAACUAUUAACUGAAGGAACAGAGAAUGACACAAGUAAGAAGAACCUUAUAUAUUCAGCACUAGUUAAACAUAACUUAUGGCAGUACAUUUUGAGAACCCCUCUAAUCUAAACUCUAAAGACGGUCGAGUGGUGGGUGACCUUACUUAUGACAUGAAGUGGUGGUGUAAUGUUACACUACUCCAGAAAUACUAACCAUAAGCAAACUAUUAGUACUAA